rnacentral:lncRNA from 1 species
CUUUUUAUUGAUUAAUCCUGUUCACCCAAACUUUGGAGCUAUAUUUUAUAAUUUAAAUGUUUCUCUACACUUUAGGUUUCUUUUCUUCCUCCUCGCCUUUCCUACUCUCCCUUAAUAAUUCUUUUCUUUCUUUGUCUAAUGAUCUCUCUUGAUAACAUGUGCAGUCUCUUGUUAGUCAAAAAGGGUCCUCACCCACCCACUCAUUACUCACCCA